UUUUUAUCCUUGUCCAGGAAUUGAACAGCCCAAGUUCCAUUAAUUGACGAGAUCGAUUCAAAGGCUCAAGGAAACACUCUAUGAGGUAACAGCAAGAAUUGUAUUUGAAGGUGAGAUUCCAGCCAAAACUUCCAGCAUCGAUAUCGUUCUUCUCUGUAUAAUUCUCGGAAUCGCUGCUUACUUGUACAAUAUAUGGAGCUGGGUUGGAUUAAGAGCUUAUUGUUCAAGUGGUUGAACUAUGGGAUAGCCCUGAGUUGCGAG